AAAUAUAUGUUAAGUGGAAAAGGAUGUGGGGUUGCACAGACAACUAGGAUGUUAGCUUAGAAGCAGCUAUUCAUUCAAAGAGUGCGUAAUAGCUCACUAGUCGAGUGACCCUGCGCCGAAAAUGUACCGGGGCUAAAACAUAUUACCGAAGCUGUGGAUGACACAAAAGUGUCAUGGUAGGAGAGCGUUCUAUGUGUGAAGAAGGUGUACCGUGAGGAGCGCUGGAACGCAUAGAAGUGAGAAUGCCGGUAUGAGUAGCGCAAGACAGGUGAGAAUCCUGUCCACCGUAAGACUAAGGUUUCCAGGGGAAGGCUCGUCCGCCCUGGGUUAGUCGGGACCUAAGGAGAGACCGAAAGGUGUAUCCGAUGGACAACAGGUUGAUAUUCCUGUACUAGAGUAUAUAGUGAUGGAGGGACGCAGUAGGCUAACUAAACCAGACGAUUGGAAGUGUCUGGUCAAACAGUGAGGUGUGAUAUGAGUCAAAUGCUUAUAUCUUUAACAUUGAGCUGUGACGAGGAGCGAAGUUUAGUAGCGAAGUUAGUGAUGUCACACUGCCAAGAAAAGCUUCUAGCGAUACAUAUACUCUACCCGUACCGCAAACCGACACAGGUAGUCGAGGCGAGUAGCCUCAGGUGAGCGAGAGAACUCUCGUUAAGGAACUCGGCAAAAUGGCCCCGUAACUUCGGGAGAAGGGGCGCUGAUUUUAGAUCAGCCGCAGUGAAUAGGCCCAAGCAACUGUUUAUCAAAAACACAGCUCUCUGCUAAAUCGUAAGAUGAUGUAUAGGGGGUGACGCCUGCCCGGUGCUGGAAGGUUAAGAGGAGUGCUUAGCGUAAGCGAAGGUAUGAAUUGAAGCCCCAGUAAACGGCGGCCGUAACUAUAACGGUCCUAAGGUAGCGAAAUUCCUUGUCGGGUAAGUUCCGACCCGCACGAAAGGCGUAAUGAUUUGGGCACUGUCUCAACGAGAGACUCGGUGAAAUUUUAGUACCUGUGAAGAUGCAGGUUACCCGCGACAGGACGGAAAGACCCCAUGGAGCUUUACUGCAGUUUGAUAUUGAGUAUCUGUACCACAUGUACAGGAUAGGUAGGAGCCUAUGAUAACGGGACGCCAGUUUCGUUUGAGGCGUUGUUGGGAUACUACCCUUGUGUUAUGGCUACUCUAACCCAGAUAGGCAAUCCCUAUCGGAGACAGUGUCUGACGGGCAGUUUGACUGGGGCGGUCGCCUCCUAAAAGGUAACGGAGGCGCCCAAAGG
rnacentral:rRNA from 1 species